rnacentral:rRNA from 1 species
UACGAAGGGGGCUAGCGUUGUUCGGAAUCACUGGGCGUAAAGGGCGCGUAGGCGGCCUGAUAAGUCGGGGGGUGAAAGCCUGUGGCUCAACCACAGAAUUGCCUUCGAUACUGUUAGGCUUGAGACCGGAAGAGGUAAGUGGAACUGCGAGUGUAGAGGUGAAAAUUCGUAGAUAUUCGCAAGAACACCAGUGGCGAAGGCGGCUUACUGGUCCGGUUCUGACGCUGAGGCGCGAAAGCGUGGGGGAGCAAACAGG